rnacentral:misc_RNA from 1 species
UUUCCGUAGGUGAACCUGCGGAAGGAUCAUUACCGAGUGAGGGUCGCUCAGGCUCGCCCUCCCACCCUGUGUUUUUGUGACCUUGUUGCGUUGGCGGGUCCGCCUGGAUGAGGGCCCGCGGGAAGCUGGCCGCUUUGGGCCCGUGCCCGCGAGUAGCCCCCUUAAAUUCUUUAUAAACCUGUUGUCUGAGUCUAGAUAUAAUAAAAAAAACUUUCAACAACGGAUCUCUUGGUUCUG